CCCCAGGGGUUUUGUCAGGAUGCUUCCGCACAUUCGUGUGCCAGUGCAAUGGAAGUUGUGCGUUACAUCCCUGGGAGAUCGAUAUCCACCUCCAACUUCUCUGGCCUGGUCAUCAGGUCGGGGAUUGUCAGACUCCGUCUUGGGGUUUUGGCGCCGGAUACCGGACGUGUUUCAUACGAGUUGAAAACCGCCGCGCCCUUCACUGGGUAAUUUUGUUGCGGUUUUCUUAGUGAUGUUUCAUACAUUU
rnacentral:snoRNA from 1 species